rnacentral:lncRNA from 1 species
GUGGUUAGGGCCUUUUUAAAAUCUUCAAGACUUGUAGGUCAGCUAUUAAACAUGAAAAACUUUUAUUUCCUUCGUUUUUUCUGCCAAUUUCUCUUUCUUCUCUGUCCCCUCUCUCACUCACCCACUCGACCACGGUGGUUUCCGGCGGCCUCUGACAAGAAUCAAGAUUCGAUUUUGGGUUGAAUCGUCUAUAUAGACCCAACAAGCAAUGUAUAUUUUACUCAAAACUUUUUAUUUUUGGGUUAAUCCCAAAUUCUUAUUUUUUUUUCAUUUCUUACAACUGUGAUUUGGGGUUUGUAGAGGGAUUCGUACAUAUGCAUUUGCAAAUUCGAUAUAGUUUUGUAUAACCAUAUCUUAUAAGGCGUGGGUGAAUAUAUUUCCUUGUUCGACUAUCUUUGGGCUCUGUAUCUUAAAAUUUCAUCAGUCUGUUGACCUAAUAUUUAUUAAUAAACACGUGGCCGAUUGUAGUCUAGUCAUAGUUGUUUUCUAGAACUGGGGUUUGUUUUUCUUAUUCUAAUCGUAAGUUUUACAUAGCCGAUUGUAGUCUAGUCAUAGCUGAUUGUAUAUUUACAUGUAGGUAAUAUGAAGAAGAAAUCAGUUGCUAAAAUGAUGAUGAAUAAGCUGAAGAUGAUGAAGAUGAGUCAGAAAGUGAAACAGAUGGAGUAGGUGAAGGUGA